rnacentral:rRNA from 1 species
CCUACGGGCGGCAGCAGUGAGGAAUAUUGGUCAAUGGACGAGAGUCUGAACCAGCCAAGUAGCGUGAAGGAUGACUGCCCUAUGGGUUGUAAACUUCUUUUGUCGGGGAACAAAGGCGUCCACGGGUGGGCGGAUGAGUGUACCUGAAGAAAAAGCAUCGGCUAACUCCGUGCCCGCAGCCGCGGUAAUACGGAGGAUGCGAGCGUUAUCCGGAUUUAUUGGGUUUAAAGGGUGCGUAGGCGGAAUAUCAAGUCAGCGGUAAAAAUUCGGGGCUCAACCCCGUCGUGCCGUUGAAACUGAUGUUCUUGAGUGGGCGAGAAGUAUGCGGAAUGCGUGGUGUAGCGGUGAAAUGCAUAGAUAUCACGCAGAACUCCGAUUGCGAAGGCAGCAUACCGGCGCCCAACUGACGCUGAAGCACGAAAGCGUGGGUAUCGAACAGGAUUAGAUACCCUAGUAGUC